UGUGUGUGUGCGUGUGCGUGUGCGUGUGUGUUGUGUGCGUGCGCGUAUUUAUAAUCGUACUUAAUUAGACUACUUUAAUUACAAUCUAUGAUUGGUUGAAGUUUUCACAGAAACUAAACGUUAAUAGAAAUCUGAAAAAUAUAUAUGCAGUAACGUAAAAGUUAGUGUUGUAAAUCUGCAUUUAAUAUCACGACUCGAUAAUUCAUUACAUGUGCGUUAUUUGAUUGAAUGAUUUGUGCAGCGAUUGUAUAGGAAUUCGCAAGAGUGUUUGUGCGUAUGAUAAUACAAUCCUAGAAAUAACAGCAAACGACUCGAGUGCCUAUUCCGAUUGAUUAAAGCGUUGCGGGAUAUUCCGGCAUGCAAAAUUGAUUAUUCGCGAGACGACGCGCGGGAGCGUAUUUUGCAGGGAAAAAAUACGCAGGAAAAAAAUGGCUCGUCGUUUGCUUAUAAACAUGCAAAUCGUGGGCGGCAGAGCGAAAUUUUCAUUACGCAUCCCCCUCGUAUACGCCACCGCGUUCUCUCGGUUUCGCUUCGCGGCUCGUCGCCAGUUUUUGCCUCUCACACGCUAAAUUCAUCGAUGGUUAUCAUCGUUCAUCCGUUUUCCUUUCCAUUCCGCCGUGUAUAGAACUCUCUGCAUUGAGUUGCGUUCGCUAUCAAAUUCCGAUCGUGCCCUUCUAAUCCCCAUUUUCGGACAAAGUGUAAAUGAAUCUCCACUCCUCUUCCUUUUUAAUCCCGCGGAAUCGCAGAAUUUUCGGUACUGAUUCCACGUCGUAGCUGCGUGCCUAAUUUUUCCUAGCCAUUUCACCGCUCCGAUAAGACUUGCUCGCGGAUCAAGAAAAUUCGGGGGCUUCGCCCGCGCGUCGAUCUUUUUCGCGUCGAUUUGGCGGAUCGCGUGAUCGAAUCCCCGAGUCGCGGAAAACGACGGCGCCCCUUUAUCCAAGGGUCUCGCAGGAUGAACCUCCGAAUGGCGCCAGAUUAUAGUGUCACGUAGUCCACAGGUCGGCGUGGGCGAAGGGACGCCAAAUAUAUUGUCUGUCGCACGCAUCGCGUACGCGCGUAUACGACCCUGGGACCGACGAGCGUAACGCCGACGCGACAGAUUGGCUGGGAUAAAUUAAUUUCAUUUACCGGUGAUUUAGACGAUCCGCGAUGCUGAAGGGAUGCCAUUUGACAUCCUCCACGCUCGCAGUCCACGUCGCGCCGGCGCCCGGCUACAAAUGAAUCCUUCAGCGUGUCUCGGGCAUCGUUGCGCAGUAAGUUAAGCGAACGUCAAUGCAACCAUAAUCGCUCUUAAUGGUAUUAAUCUUAGGAUAUUAAGAACAACUAAACUAUUCCACAUAGCGUCAUUAAAAACGUCGAUUUUCUCUUUAACAAAUCUGGAUUUUAAUUUCUUUAAUGAAACGCUCUUUGUACUACUUUGAUACACACACUUCACAUCACUAAUUAUUAUGAGAAUGUUGUAUUAAAUUUAACAAAAAAAGUAUAUUUUACAUAUGAAUCUUAUUGAGUAAAAGAAAUAAUUUUUAUCCUUUUGUGUUUAAAAGAGUGGAUCAGCGAUUUACUCUUGAGAAGAGCUGUCAAUAAUUCAAGAGAAUAUAUUUCCAAAUGCGCUUCGUAGAAUUAGGAACAAUAGAUAUCGCUGCGUUUAUUCUUUAUCUGCAGAUUAACGAGAAUUUACAAGCAAUUAAGUAAGUUCUAAUGGAAACACUCGCAAGAAACUUGGAUCAAGGAACGAGGACCUUGACCAUAAGUGGCACGCUCGGUCGAGCAUUACAUUCAUCAUCUAAUGGCAGCGGAAAUGUUUUGGCUAGCGGUACCCCGCAACUUUCCGGUUCCUCUGUUCCGGUUUUAAUACAAUUACGACAGUACCUAAUAUCCCACGAGAACACAGCGUUUAAUACAAAGGAUGAGAGGGUAACGCGAAACAAGGAUUCACGUGUCAAGAAUAGUAAGCGGUAAGCGUUGCACGAUGGAUGAGUGAAGAAUCCAGCAGAGACCAGGCAAAAUGCACAACCAGUCUCAAAAUCUCAGCGACUAAAAAAACGUAUUCUUCGCCGCGACACGAGGGAAGGAUCCAUCGACUGCUCCCUCGGGAAUGCUGCAACGGCUAGAGACAGAAUUCUUUCUGAAAAAAAAUUCUUACGACAUAAAGUCAGGAGAUUGUGUGCGCCAUUUCGCCGAGGCGCCAGAAACACCAUGUAGUCACGAUAUUUUUAGCAUGGACCGAAAUUAUGCGACAGCGGAAGCGAUGGCGGCGGUGGUGGUGGUGGUGGCAGUGGCGGCGGGGUCGCGUCGCGCGCGAGGAGCGGGCGCAAUUAUGCUUGAAAAACUUUUUUUCGGUGGUACACGGCGAGUUUAAGAAGUGACAUUCGUCUCCCGAAAUUAACCCCGGCCUGCACGUGCCCGCGAUACGAAACGCCCCGUAGUUUUUCCUAUUCCCGUGUCCUCCCCCGAAGACAACGAACGAAUGCGACGCGCGGGGAAUGAAAUACGAGCGGGGCGAGAGUCGGAAAGAGAGUCCGGGGGUACUAUGCGAACGCGAGAUUCGCGAAACUUUCGAAAAAUUAUGUCGCGUUGGAGGAGGUGCAUCUCUAGACGACUGGCUUAUGCAACGAGUUAAAAGGCUCGCGCGACAAAGUUGCGCUACGUGUUGGAUUUUACGAGUGCGCCGCUUGCUAUACUCGAGGGUGUUGGUGGCCAUCCAUAGUCGCGACUCUAAAUACGGGAGGGGUAACUUUAAAUCUCUGCACGGAGUAAGAAACGGUUAACUACUAAAUCAGAGCAAUGAACAAUUCGGGCUUUUUGAGAAUUAAAUAUUCUUGAAUAAAAGAGCAGUUAUGUGAUAUAUACAGAAAGAGAGAGAGAGAAUGCGCUCUUUUGGUGCUUUCGCUGAAGAAUUUUCUUAUAAAUAGGGUCAGUGUGCUUUACUAAAAAACAGCAAACUCAAUCAUAAAUAUAGCAUAGCAAUCAAAUUAAUCGAAAAACGACAAAUGCAUUUGAAAUCGAUAGGAUAAAAGAAGAAUGAUAUUGAUAAAAAGUAAAAGAAAUAUCGCUGUGUCUUUAUUGAAACUCAUUAUCAACGAAGAUCUCACUGCUUCUCAGUAGUUUAUUGAAAAUCGUCAAGGAUCUCAAUGAACUAUAAUACAUAUAUAUAUAUAUAGGUUUCUACUGAUUCAGCAAUUUCUAUUCUGGUUGAUGCAGCUUCAAAGAAUAAUACGAUCCUUUCCUUUCAAAACAGAUAUUUUUACUUCUAACUUGUGCUGUUAGCGUGCUUUUCACAUUUAUUUGUCGGUUCCAUCGUUUCUGCUACUGAUUCUCUCCGACUGCCUCUCCAUUUUUGCCCACAAAUCAGAUUAAUCGUUCGCCGUUCUAUCGCGUGCCAGUAUUAUCCGAGACCGUGCCGGUCCGGUAAACAGCAAAUCAGCUUCGAAUUAUAAUUAAACCGUUCGCGCGAGUUUAGUCCGUAGCUCAUUUUGUUCCAAUUUAGGAUUUUCCGCGAGGCGAUCGAGUACCUGAACAGGCAGCCGAUGGUCCCGCGCGCCAACAGCCAGCACAGCCAGGUAGGCUAGGAACAGUGUAACGUGAAAUUGGUACUUUGAAAUUUCAUUAGUGAAGUCAGGUGGCGUCACAGAUUCAAUUAGCUUUUUAUUGGAUUUCGAACUGUGCGAACUGUCAAAGCGGUAACCGCGCUACUGGCUGGGCUCUACUGCUGGCUGUGCGCGAAUACCGAACUCACCGUGCCAACGAGCGCGCGCGCGCGCACACACAUACACAUGCACACACGUCGCGUUGCGUGUUCACGCGAGUACGCGCGCGCGAUUGCACGUAGCCGAUGGAUGGACGAUCGCUUUGCCACCGAAUCGAUAUUUUUACACCAACUCGGAUAAUCGGCCGCACAACUUUGCCGUGCCUUCGAAUACCGUGGAAAUAACUGAUGGGUUUUCGAAUGCCUGCAGUUGGUUUUACGCUGCUGCCGGAAGCGCCGCUUUCCCCGUUGAUUUUUUUCUGGAAAACUUUCCGUUUCGGAGUGAUAAUUUAUUUUACGGUCUCUACGUUUGCGCGUUUGGCAAAAGGUCCAAAUAAUAAAGUAUUUAUUAAAACAGGAUCGCUUCCUCUAUUUCGAUGUGUUUCGACAUGUUUCGUCGUGUUCACAAUUAAUUAUUAAUACUGAAUUUAUCUACAAAUACCUUAUACACAAUUUAUUUAUUAAUACUGAAUCAAUUAGAUUUUUUUCCUUUCUUUCUCUGCAUGAGGAAAAGUUUUCAUAAAUUCAACUUGAUAGUCUUUUCUUACUUCAGUUACACCAAUUGUUAAUGAAAUAUGUUCAUGAAAUACGAAAGGGGUGAGUGGAGCAGACUUUGAAAGUCGGCAGGAUUCGACCCUAUGGUGGUUGGCAACACUCGUGCAUCAUAGGUUUAUGGUUCUACGAUGGCAUUUAUAAGGUUUGCUCGAGUUGGCAAGUAAGUUCCACCGUCGAACCCGUCCCAGGCACUGGGGUGGUAAUGCCACGAAGCGCAUCAUUACCACCGUGAUAUAUAUACGGGGAAUGCCGUUAAUGCGUUUUGGGGUUCCUUAUUGAAAAAUAUUGCGUUGAUUCUGCAUUAAAUGUGAUAGUCCAUUGUCUCUCUUUUUUCUCUCAUAACUGCCACAUCUACAUUUCCAGGAUUCACUCAAUGUAAUGGCUAUAAUAUUUAAUAGUUUAACGUAUUUGUAAUUUUAUCAUCAAUUUAAUCGAUAAUUAUCUAAAAGGACAAGGUAUUUAAUUUCAAAAUUAAGCUACCUUGACGUGAGAUAUUUUAGCAUUGUCAUUCGACGAAGCAGACUUUGCUUUAUUUCUGCAACGUUCUGUCACGUUUCACGUGGCAAAACACCGAAAACACUCAAACCGCAUCGUUUUUAUAGUUGACUGGCUCUACGCUCUACGUUCUCUUCCCUCUUUUCCUUCUAUCGGCGAUCCCAUAAAUUAGGGAAGGCACCCUACCGCUUAUACGAUUGUCCGCCGGGAAACGGGACGAUUUCGGACGCACGUCGCGGCGGCGUUACGCUACCCUGACGUCGAAGGGUUCGUCGGUUCGAUGGGCCCCGGACGGUCAUCCCACGAUAAAUCAGACCGGACGCGUUACACGCGAAUGCAAUACGUUUUCUCGACAUGCAGGUGAAGCCAACCUCGUUGCAGUUUUACCAAGUGCCGUCGGCCGUGCGGCGACAGUUACGUGCACGCAAAUCCCAGCGCGACGCUAAAUUCUUCGAGCGAAAAAAACCAUCUUUCCAGCUUUCGCGAGAUCUUGUUAAGUUGUUCAAUUUCUCAUCAUCAAAGAAAGAAGGAAAAGGUUGUUUGGUUAGUAGAAUACAAUGAUAUCUGCAAGUUCGAAAAAGAGUGUUUAACAAUUAAUGCUUCUAGUCUAACUACAGUCUUGUACUUUUCCAAAAACUUGGAAGAGUCUUGUAGAGAAAUUUAGACGAACUUUUCGUAAUUUGCGAAAUGUCAAGGUUCAUAAUUUUCAAGAUUUCUGUUACAUUUUGAUCACUAAUAAGAGAAAUCUUUUAGUUAUCUAGUAAUGAUAGAAAAUGAGAUUCCUUUUCGAGAUUAAUUACAUUAAUUAGAUUAUUAACUAAUCUGGAUCGCGUCUAGAUGGUGAUAUAACUCGAUGUUUUGGAGAAUUUCGUCUUUUGUUUUUUAAAGAUUGUCUAUUCUACUAUAAAAUUAAUAUACGACAAGUUAUAUUGUGCUGUCACAAGUAUGCGUUUUAGUUUGAUUCAUCUAGAUGCGACUUGGAUUACUUGAGGAAAGCAAUUAAUAUUUCACAAAAUACUGUCAAGAGAGAUAUAUAGAUCAUACAGUAUCUCCUUUUCAUACGUAAGAAACAUUGAACGCAGAAACACAUCUGAAACUCCCGUGAAAAGUUUGACAUGUUCGCAAAUUUCCGUCGCACCGUUUAAUCCUCACUCUCCGCAGUUGAAACUACUUUUACGAGAACAUCGCCAGUUGACCUAGCCUGUAAUCGACUUUUCCUAAAUGCGUUCCACUUUUUGGAAAAAUACAAUUACCCCGUGUCACUCCACGCGCGCGCAUAUCACGUGUGUGUAACAUGGUUUUUGGAUACAUAUCGAAAAAUUCUCGAUGCGCGCGCUAAAGCAACAUUUGACACAACAAAAUAUAAAAAGAAAACUGGUUCUGGUAGCAAUUAAUAGCGGAUAAUCACCGAGACGUUCGAUAAUCUCAUGGUCGAGCAACUUUUACGGCGUCGACCACCGAUACACGGAAAUAGUCCGGAAGCCUUAAUCAGGCGCUCGAUUUGCCAGAGUGCAGCUUUUCCGCAGACCGAGGACGACUAGAGGGGUGUGUUUGUAGAGGAAUUUACCUAGUGGCAAUUAGAAGGAGUUAUAAUUAACCUGGGCAGCAGUGAUUAUGCCAUACGAACACCUACUACAUGCGCUUAAUGGUGAGGACACGAUCAAACGUAGGUACGGAUCACGGACGUCGUCGUACAGCCUGGCUAUUUACCGGACGUUCAUCGGACAUCGUGGAGGAUUUGUUUGUAUUACGGAUUACAACGGUUCGCAAGCUCUCUACCGACGGCCGACGUUUCUCAGUACACGGGACGGUUGACACUGCGUUCUCUUACGGGGACUUAAUCUCGCAGUAGGGCGACAAAUUGGCGUUGAUUGGGUUGGAUGAUCCCGUGAUUAGUGCCCUUUUUCUCUCGAUGGAUUUACUCCGUAAAUUCCAUCGAACGUUAAAGAGGCAAUCAAAUAAUAAUCGGAUACAUUGCGUUUAAUUUAUUUGUUCAAAUUGCGGUUACUUUUCUUCGAUGUGUAUAGCAUUUAAAAUUUGGUUUGUGAAAUAAUUUAUGUAUUAUAGACAACGAUGAUGAUUACUUGGUUAAGUGAAUUUAUUUUCACUGAAUGCAAUAAAAUAUUAAGUGUAUGCAAACUUUUAGUCUUUUUUUCAGCACGCUCACUAUUGGUUUUUAAAGUUAUGUUUAUCAUUAAAUCAUAAGAUAUGACGUUUUAGAAAUUUCGCUGCCAACUCUUCAAAAAACAUAAAAAGCGAACAUUUAUUUGAAGUUUAAAUAAUAAUACUCAAGCGCUGAAAAAAAGACUGGAAGUUUUAUAUACACCUAAUAAAAUUUGACGCAAAAAUCGAAACUUUUUGAUUGACCCAAUACUUUCAAUUAUUGUGGCUAUAGUUUAUUUAUUUUUUAUUAAAAGCUUUUAAAGAAAGAACUCUCCUCCAACAUCGAUUUACCUCCACUACUUUUACGGAUUUCUAUGGAUAACGAGUUCUUGUAUAUUUUGUUUUUACACAAUAAUCUUAUCUCGCUUCAACUCACUCUGAAUAUUGAUUAUGAACAGAGUUCUUAUCAAUACCAAUGGGAGAUCUUUAAGAAAAAGAUCACCCUUAUUUUUCUACACGAGAUAACAUUCACAUUAAAGAGCGUUUGGCCACGCGAAAGAUGGGACAAUAAUUUACUUUCGGUGAAAGUUAUCGAUAUUACUCUGAGACAGUUAUCGAUAUAGAUACGAGAUUCUCUGGAACUCCCUAUACAGCGAUCUAAAGACUUAUUAAAACAAUCCGUAUUCUUAUCUAAA